rnacentral:rRNA from 1 species
CUCGCCUGCCCAGUGACUCUUUUAAACGGCCGCGGUAUCCUAACCGUGCAAAGGUAGCAUAAUCACUUGUCUCUUAAAUAGAGACUAGAAUGAAUGGCUAAAUGAGGACUAAUCUGUCUCUUACGGACCAACCAAUGAAAUUAAUCUUUCAGUACAAAAGCUGAAAUAAAAACAUAAGACGAGAAGACCCUGUGGAGCUUCAAACCAAACACACCCUGCAUGCUCCUCAGGUUUUUAGUUGGGGCGACUUCGGAGCACAAUAAAACCUCCAAAAUUUUUUAUCUUCAAGAUUAACAAACCAAAAACUUUAUUAGACCCAGCAAUGUAUAACAUUGUCUGAUCACUGAACCAAGUUACCCCAGGGAUAACAGCGCCAUCCCCUCCUAGAGUCCAUAUCGACAAGGGGGUUUACGACCUCGAUGUUGGAUCAGGACACCCCAAUGGUGCAGCCGCCAUUAAAG